AAUCAUCAAAACCCUUUUUCUUUGAUCCUCUUUUGGUCGGGAAAGGGAUUUUUGGACUUGGAGGUUUUAUGCUAGCUUUCAAGCUUUUGAAAGCGAGCUCCUCUCAAAAGAAUUAGUGGGGUCCGCUUUGCUGAUCCUCGACGUGAUAAAGAUGUUUCUACGUUUUGGUAUUCGGCACUGUCUUUUUGGACGUCUGCUUAUAACCGUCCCCCCGGACAUGAAGAUGGUGCUCCGGUCACUGCCAUCUAUAAUUGGUGAGAGGCUGGACCCACAAGAAAAAA
rnacentral:misc_RNA from 1 species